GUGGGCUCUGCACUGGGACUUGUUCUCAUUGUCUCUUUAAUUUACUGUCUAUUAAGACAAAAAAGAGCUGGUGCUCAACAGGACAAAAGCAAAGGUGUCGGAUACAACAUUGGAGAGAGAGAUGAGUACGGCUCAAGAGUAUAGCUCAUCGUUUUGGACCUCACUUCAAAGGAACUCAAUGAAACUUCAAUAAGACGAUUAUACCGUCAUCCCUUUGCAUUACUCAUUCUGUAUUUGUGAAAUCAUCCCAGACUUUUGUGGAAGCAUGAAAGGUUUAAGUAGAUCACAUCCUAAUGUUUGCAUGCGUUGCAUGCUGCUGGUUUUUUUUUUUUGGAAGCACUCUGUUUUUUCUCAAGCCACAGUCUGGAUGUCCUUUGCUGUGUUGUGGCAGACAGUACACGGUAGUCCUCCGUUCUGGACAUUUAAAAGGGUGUUUUAUGCUGUAUGACUACUUCCUUAGAGCAAGUGGCGCAGCUGUCCUCUUUAAUCCCCCUUGAUUUAUCCGACGUGAUGUGGUGAGUUUCUUAAGGAGAGCUCCACACAGAAGCUUCCA